AACGCGAAGAACCUUACCUAGCCUUGACAUGCAUUGGACCGGCGCUGAAAGGCGCCUUUCCCGCAAGGGACCGGUGCACAGGUGCUGCAUGGCUGUCGUCAGCUCGUGUCGUGAGAUGUUGCGUUAAGUCGCGCAACGAGCGCAACCCCUGUCCUUAGUUGCCACCAUUCAGUUGGGCACUCUAGGGAGACAAACCCUCUUUGAGGGUGGGAAGGUGGGGAUGACGUCAAGUCAGGAUGGCCCUUACGGCUAGGGCUGCACACGUGCUACAAUGCCCGGUACAGAGGGAAGCAAUACCGCGAGGUGGAGCAAAUCCUCAAAACCGGGCCCAGUUCAGAUUGUAGUCUGCAACUCGACUACAUGAAGUUGGAAUCGCUAGUAAUGGCGCAUCAGCUACGGCGCCGUGAAUACGUUCCCGGGCCUUGUA
rnacentral:rRNA from 1 species